rfam:Nitrospirae bacterium RBG_16_64_22 RBG_16_scaffold_3372, whole genome shotgun sequence.
CUGAAUACACGUGGAUUGAUUUGCGGCAUAUUGCAACCACGUUAAAAAAAGUGCUAAAAGGCCGGGUCAGGCAUUUC